GUCAUGGGUUUCCACACGUUGGGGCUUCCUCCGCCCCUUUUCCCUUAUAUGGAUGUGAGGCGGAUCCUAUGAUUAAGGCUGCGCAGCUGAGGAGAAUCGGGCUCAUCACGUCACCUGCAUAAAGAUUCCUGGCUGACCUUCAAUCUUCGCUGGAUCGUUGCUACUACUAGUGCACCCUGCCUGGAAACUGCAGCUGACUCACACGGACCCUGUCUGCCCGCUCUCCGCCUCGACCUACAAGGAACCCAUUCGACCUGUCACCACUUGUCUCAAUAAACUCUUCACUAAAUUCCUACCGUGAUCUCUCUACCUGGGGUCCAAGCUUCAACCGUGACAAUUUCAGCCUCACCUGUCGGUCUCUGCUCGGUGUCCAGGUUUCAUGCAGGGAUCCCAGCAGACCGAGGACUGGUCUGGCCGGACCGCCUCAGAACCUGGACCAUUCCCUCCCUGUUGGGGUUAAUGGCUGUUAUGGUGCAUUACCGCCACCUGCUGGUGAGGACUGGAUCAGGAAUCUGGGAAUGGAUGAAAAUAAACAUUGAUACAAACAAAACAAUCACACACACACACAAAGCUGUAGCAGAAUGAUGAAAAUGGGAAGAAAAAGACUCAAACUGAGCCUGAAGGUCACAAAAGGAGCAUAAAAACAUGGAAGUGUGUUUUCCAGUCAGGUUGUUUGGCUUCAGACUGGAACUUUAAUCGUUUUAUGACAGACGUGGAGGUGCGUUCACUGACCUGUUAAUGCUUGUUAGUUCUUUUCUCACA